AAAAAAAGGAAAAAUAGUCAAGGCGUUGCAUGAGUACAAUCAAAGUAUGUUACCGCUUUUUUUUCUUCUUUUUUUCUCUUGUAUGCUUGCUUCU
rnacentral:ribozyme from 1 species